GACGAACGCUGGCGGCGUGCUUAACACAUGCAAGUCGAGCGGUAAGGCCCUUUCGGGGGUACACGAGCGGCGAACGGGUGAGUAACACGUGGGUGACCUGCCUUUAGCUCUGGGAUAAGCCUGGGAAACUGGGUCUAAUACCGGGUAUGACCCUAUGGCGCAUGUUGUGGGGUGGAAAGCCUUGUGCGGCUAGGGAUGGGCCCGCGGCCUAUCAGCUUGUUGGUGGGGUGAUGGCCUACCAAGGCGACGACGGGUAGCCGGCCUGAGAGGGCGACCGGCCACACUGGGACUGAGACACGGCCCAGACUCCUACGGGAGGCAGCAGUGGGGAAUCUUGCGCAAUGGGCGAAAGCCUGACGCAGCGACGCCGCGUGAGGGAUGACGGCCU
rnacentral:rRNA from 1 species